UAGCCAGGUCCCUCUGCCAAGUACUCAUAUCUCUGCUUGGCUGAACACCAGCCUAGGCUAAGGUACAGUUAGAAAGAAUAGCAGUUUCAUUGGAAGGAACUGACAGAAAACAACCCUUCAUGUGAGCUUCACUGGGAGAAAGACUCUGGAUGACAGGCCUUCAUGAUUGGAAUUUGAAGUGGCAGAACAUUAGGCCUGGAGACCCCGUCUUGCAAUGCUCAUUGAGAAUGUGGUCUAAGCUGGAUGCCCAGAUUUCUAAAAUGCUGAGGUUGCCCUCAAGCAGUUCAUGUCCCACUGGAAUAAACAGAUAGACACUUGUAAGAUAGUGUGGCAGGGGCUGGAGAGGUGGCUCAUUAGGUAAGACCACUGGCUACUGUUCCAGAAACCUAGGAUCCAUUUCCAGGACCUAUGUGAGGGCUCACACCUCUGUAACUCUAGUCCCAGGGAAUCUGACGCCCUCUUCUGGUUUCCUUGGGCACUGCAUGU
rnacentral:lncRNA from 1 species